AGUCAGCUGGAUAAUCGCUGGUCAAAAUAUCUUCAUGGUAUUGGGGCUGGAGGAAAGUCCGGGCUCCACAGGACAGAGUGCCAGAUAACGUCUGGGAGGCGCGAGCCUACGGCCAGUGCAACAGAGAGUAGACCGCCUGUUUUGAUCUAACGAUCACAUUAGGUAAGGGUGAAAGGGUGCGGUAAGAGCGCACCGCGCUUCUGGUAACAGAAGUGGCAUGGUAAACCCCACUCGGAGCAAGACCAAAUAGGAAAACUAUGGCGCUGUCCGCGCUGUUUUCGGGUUGGUCGCUUGAGACUAGAGGUGACUCUAUAGUCCAGAUGAAUGAUUAUCCUAGACAGAACCCGGCUUAUAGGCUGACUUAA
rnacentral:RNase_P_RNA from 1 species